UCCAGUUUUACUGGGUUACAUGCUCAUACCAGUUAUUAUACCGCAUAACAAUUACGAAACACAACUUCAUAUCAGUGAAAAAAAUAAUAGCUUCUUUUGCAUAUUUAUUUACAUUUAGCUGGCCUCUUUUCUCCAAACUCACUCAUGCAGGUUAGCCUGUGUACAAUGAUUUACCCAUUUGUAUAGCUGGGUGUUUUUCAUUGGAGCCCAUCGGGGUAAAUACCUUGUUCAGGGGCUUUACAGCUGCUGCUGGCAUUCAGAGCCGGGUCCUGCGAGCGUAAGGCACCUGCUCUAACCACUGCGCCCCCUGCAGUCGCCCGUGUCGACAACUAGACAUCUUCGCUGCUCGCCUUCCAGAGGGCUUAGAGGUCAUCGUGAGUCUCACGUGACGCUUACCGCGGUCGAACUGAACGGUUACGCAAGUAACACUUAAAACAAACAAGCGACGUGCCAUAUGUGACACUCCACACGCUCGUUUGUCUUUUAAUCCUCGAGGGAUAAAAACAGCAGCAGCCGGGGCUGUUCUGCACUCGUGCGAAAAAGAGACCUUCCGCGUAGAUCAGCGGCACAAGGAGAUAAUCCUCCCGCCCCUUCGGGUUUGACACGUUUCCGUACGACGAGGCCUGGCUUUCCCGCGGCAAACGGCACGGCCGGCGGCCCUAGGUAUCGGACCCUCAAAAGCCCAAGUCCAUCGAAGAAAACUCCAUCAGGCAGUCCACGGUCUCGGCUCCCUCUGUCCUCGGGCCUGAGUCAAACCCGCACGCCGCUGAGCUGCGGGGCUGUUCUGUCAGCGUGUCGGGCCGCUGGGAAGCUGCGCUCCCUGGCUGUUUCCAUGGCGACGCACAGGAUCAGCGUUCAGAGAGCGGCGAUCCGACCAGGGGACCGAGCGUCUCGCAGUCUCACACUGAACCGGCCCCCCGUUCCCCAGGAGGCGGUGAACGCUCUGCCUAGAAUUGUAGCGGCGGCGGCAGUCUGGGGACACAGCGCCAGGGCGCCGACUCCACGCCAGCACUUCCUGGCUCCGGGACACACGUUUUACAAGCCUUCAAUUAAGUGGCGACAAAACUGUUUUCAUCACUGCGCUAAUGUGGCACAAAAAAACAACACCCAGUAAGAAUAGCAAACGGGAAUAAAGAGAUUAUUUUGCACAGCCUGUGGAGUCAGUGUGAACAGCAUUGGAUUCAAAUUUGUGUCAAGAAAAGGUGCUCUAUUGUGAGGCCCUUCUGCAGCUCCCCCCAGAAAGGCCAUGUCCUCCGCCCCUCCUCUCACUCGGCCGCUGACUUCUGACCUCAGUCAUUCAGAGUUCUCCUGCAGGCUGCCGGAAUCCGCAGACAGCGCGGGACCCCCGAGACCAAAGGGCAGACAGUCGCUCAAAGCGCAGACAACCCAGCGGGCAAGUGGCAACGUAUGGGCCGCGGCGAGUCGCUCGAAUCCCACGCCUUCGGGCCAGCUGGGAAAUGUCUGGAGAUGGUCUGGGGAACAUCUGGGGAACAUUUGAGCUUGUGCCACUUGUACAGAUUCAGAACUGCAGGGAAAUAAAAACAGCCUGAAACUCUACGAACUCUAAGGUACAUCACCUGCAGAAGCUGUACCAUAGUGGUUAAAGCCGCUGCC